rfam:Brachypodium distachyon strain Bd21 chromosome 3, whole genome shotgun sequence.
UUUAUACUUCCUCCGUCCAACAAAAGAUGUCUCAAGUUUGUCAAAAUUUGGAUGUAUCUAGACGUGACUUAGUGUAUAGAUGCAUUGAAAUUUAGUGAAAGUUGAGACAUCCUUUGUUGGACGGAAGAAGUAGUAU